CGCUCUGUUUUGAUACAUUCCGUUCGGCUCUUAAAGGCGCCGCGCUCUGGGCCCUGGGGCCUCUGGCAUUCGGCCGGCAGGCGAUUUUGGGGCCCCCGAGGGACCCCUCCUCAAACAGGUGCGACGACUUAGGGCGGUUCUAGCCGUCCCCGCGCAGCCACUGUCGACGAAGCCCUCGCCUGUGCCUGCGCGCGGCCAAGCCCGGAAGCUGCGCGAAGACUCGCCGAGAGCUGGGCGGCGGUGUGAGUCCGUUUCCCGGGAGGAACCGGGGCCCAGGGCAGCGAAAGGCCUUCGUGGGUCACACCCCGCUGAGGAGGGGUUAUUCCCAGACGCCUUGCUUGGGACCCUGUGAAAUGCCACCUCUCCGCCAAGAGACAAGUGCGGGCAGCGCCUUGGCGAUCGCAGGAUCCGCGCCCAGACCGGGAAACUGAGUCGCACGAGGUGCUUCCCCAGCAUGUCACAGAGCUGGAGCCACGUGACCUCCGUGGUGACCCUUCAGUUGGCCUGAUGCCCUUGUGAACCCCCUAGGGGGCCUUGCGAGCCCGUGGUCUGUUCCGUGGACGGGGUCAGUGGCGGCCAGUGUUUUGAGGCUCCCUCUCCGCUGUGUGGGGAUGGACUCAGCAGGAAAGAAAUGUUCGACAGGAAAAGCAUAAAGAUGGUAACACAUUUCUUGUGAGCUCAGGCCCAGAAGUCACCACUUCCUGUGCUUCCGACGUUCCCAGCCUGUGACGUGGACUAGGCGGCAGCUUUGGGCAAACUUCCCCCCGGGGUCAGGGAGGCACAAACCAGCUGGCAGAAGGGGCGUUUCCACUGACAGUGGCAGAGGCCAUGCCUGGGGCAUGUGGUCCCCAAGGAGGUGCCGGCUGGGUGCCCGCCCUCCCCAGCCCUGCGCAGCCCCCAACGACAAGGAGGUUGUCAUGCGGCCCCUGCCCUGGUCAUUUACAGAACAACCCUGUAGAGGGACACCCCGAGUGUGCUGACCCGACAUCCUUCCUGCCACCCCUCCACUCUCCGAUAACGUCAGGAGCACGAAAGAAGCAACCUGUCUGAGGGAGCCAGGCAUCCCGACUGCCGCCUGACUGGUGUCCGAACCAGUCUGCGUCCUGCGCCCGCUGGGGUUGGGGUUAGGGAAUGCAUUCCUUCAUCCACGGCAUCAAGGGCCCCCAGCAGCCCUCCUCCGGGGGACAGACUCUUCCUUCCACCCUGGAAUGUUUGUGAGCCUCCCAGGUCAAGCCCGAGAACACCCGCUGACACCCUCUCCUGCUUCUCCGAGGAAGCCCCGUUGGCUGCUGGAAGGGGUCCGGGAGCAGGACAUUAUGAAGGACAGCAGCCAGGCCGUCCCUUGAGGUGGGGCAGGACCUCCCCCUAGGCCUGGGCACCUGGAAGAAAGUCAACACUUAGAGCAUUUUCUGCUGCAAAGCAAUUGUCACAGCUCCCUGGGGGCACCGUCUGGGACAGACGUGGGCUUACUUGAUCCCCAGCACCCCCGCAUCCAUGUGACCAAUCAGGCCACUGGAAACCGGACUGCAGGCAGAAAGGCGGUGCCGGGUGUGGCUGUGGGGGCCUGCAUGGAGGAGGCUGCGGGAGGGUGUCUUGACCGCAGCCCUGGGGAGUGACUUGCACUUUUGUUCCUGAGUGUGAGGCUGUUAGGCCGGAGGAUUAAGAUCCUCUAAAAAUAUUCCAGUUUUGACUUUUCAGGACCUGGGCCUGCGGAUCUCCUAGCCUCAGGCCCUCCCCUCCCCUCCCUCCUACUUGUGCUGGCCGUGUCAUUGGGCCUUAAAGCUGACUUUUACUUGUCAUUAAAGCGAUGCCUGUGCUUGGUGUUAGAGGUCAGGCAGCACUAGGCAGCCUGCGAGAAUGAGAACAGAAAAGCCGCAGCCUCUGCCUGCACCCGCUGGCCAGCGGGAGCUGAGCGCCUGCUGCGUGCAAGGGCUCUGUUCCAGGCAUGGGGACACAGCGGAGACCCAGACUGCCGAGUGGCUCCUGCCGACGUUCCAGAGGAACUGCCUCCAACCCUCGCAGGCCUCGCCCACGUCUCACUCACAAGCUUGUGUUGCCACUUCUGUCUCUUCCGUUUUAGACGGUACCCGAACGAAGGCUUCCCACUGCAGACAAGGGUGUCUUACACCCGUGUCCCUGCGCGUCUCCUCCCCCGUUUCAAGUUUUGGAUACAUCAAUAUUUGGUGUUUUGGUUUACAUUUGGUGAUUUGUGUAAAUA